AAUAAAUAAAUACAAUCUUUAAAAAAAGCAAACAAAACAAAACCCUGAUCUAUGUCUGUAGGACUCAGAGCUGGCUAAGGAACUCCUCAACUGACUUUUUUUUCCUUGAAAUCCAGAGCCACUGCAUUACUCUAGAAACUCCGGGGAUGUCGCAAUGCUCAAGGUGUACCGUUGUGCAAGCAUGACCAUAAAACAGUGCCAGCCUCCCAUAUCGUGCCCAAGAGUCCUCCGGUCUGGGGAGAUGAGUCCCCCUCACCCUCCUGCAUCCAGGCCACUGAGUCUGCUCCGCGCUGCUCUUCCUCUAAACACGGUCUCUGUCAUGCCCGUCCGUGCAGGUCCACCGAGCUCCCAAAGGCAGUCUCCAGGAGGCUGGGACAAGGAUGGAGGAAGCCGGUUUUCUCACCUCCUGCCACCGCACACCUCCCCUGGUCGGCUGACUCAGCCUCUUGGAGUCGACUCGUGGAGUCUGAGUCACUUGGCUUCUGUGUCCGCCUGUUCCGAGUGUUCGGCCGAGGUGAGCCCCUCAUUGGCGAAGAUCGUGUCCUCCUCCAGUUUGUCCUCAUGUUUGUGUCUCCCCUGGGCCUCAGCAGCCCCGGCAGUUGUCGGUGUCCCACACAUAAAGGAUUUCAGUGAGCCUCGUGGAGGAGACGUGCCGGUGGGGAGGGCACGGUCGUCCGGGCUCCCGUGGAGAGCUGGGGUGGCAGGUGUGCGGGGAGGGCCCUCCCUGCCCACCUCCCUGACUUCUGUGCUCCUUAUCUCGGAGCGAGGGCACCCUGAGGGCCGCGCGGAGCAGGCCGUUGCCCGACACCACUAGCUGCAGAAUGCUUCCUGUUUCUUGAGGAAAUGAAAACGAGCCCUCUCCCGAGACUCUCAGUAGGCUCCCUACUGGACGGUGGCUGAUGCAAGCUCGACGGCCCUGUGCGAGACCAGGAGGACCAAGAUGUAUCUGCAUUCCAGGCCACACGGAAAUACCAGCACGAAUUCAGCAAAGGUCGCCUUGUGAUCGGCUGACUCACUCAUUUAACAAAUACUCGUUGCUCAUCUGUAGUGGCUCAGGCUCUUGGAGCUGAAGAGACACAGACGGGGAGACAGAGGGCAAAGGAGGGAAGAAAUGCCCCCCGCGGGCAGAAGGAGAGCCAGCCGUGACGCUGCCCCUGAAUCUUCCACACUCCCGCAGCCUGGCUGGCCCACCGUCCACCCCACCGCUCCUCUCAGUCGUCCCUAUCUCGGGGUCAGUGAGAGCCCAUUGCAAAGACUUGCCCUGCUUCUCUGGAAGUGAUUAUGUGACUAAUUUUAAUCACGGCGACUGCUCGUCCCCCUGCAGAAGGACCACAGUGGGGGCGGGAAGCCCUUGGCCAGAGCCCUGGAGCCUGAUUUCUGGGAAGGAGGCAGCCUGGCUCCUCAGCCCUAAAUAGAUCAUUAAGACAAGGUCGGCCGAGGAUGGAUGGUUCCCUAGCCCCCUGAGGACUGCGACAUCCUGGCUGCAGGACGGGGACCCCAGAGGACAAGGUGAUCGGGAGGCCUGUGCUCCAUCCUUUCUAGCUGGGCACUAGGCAGCCGCCUCCCCAGUGGAGGCCAGCUUUGUCCACAGAGAAACGGGUGGCCCCUCGCCUCUGCUGGGACCCAGUAUUGGUCCACAUGCUAUGAAGAAGCAACCAUAGCCUGGUCACACACUGGGUGGAGCAGCUUGGCUCCAUCCUGGAGUCCUUUAGGGCUCUGGUCUUUUCCGGGGCUUCAUCCUCAAUUCAACUCCAGCCCUGGGCUCAGGGUGCGUCGAGGACCGGGUCCACCCCCUAGUGUGGAGCCUUGUUUCUGUGGCUCUUUCCUUCCCGAGCACAGGGCAGCUGUCCCCAACCCAACCCGGCAGGAGCUGGGCAGCCUGAGGGCGCCACCAGCAUGCAGCCUGGAGCCAACAGCAGGGUAUGAAUACAGUGGCACGUCCUCCCAUCCCCGGCCUCCAGAAUCGGAACAGGAUCUGUCCCCUAGAGACCAGGCCCUGAUUUCUGAAACUCCAACUGGAAAGAGGAAGAGAAUAAAUUACAUCCCAAUGCAGUCAGGGCCGGCCUGGGGACCGGUUCAAACGGGAGGGUCAUGGGGAAGGAGGACACCCUCUGGGAGCCAGGUCGGACUGAUUUGCUGGGCACCGCGCCCCCCCCCCCCCCCAUCAUCCAUAAACCUGGUGCCAGUUUGUACUCGUUUAUCCCAUUUGAGGACUUACUCUCUGGCCGGCAGGAAUCCCAUGUGGACCCCAGGAUUCCCGGCCCUGGCAUCCACAAAGCUUCCGGUUACUCCAGAGCUAAUCUAAGCACUGCCAGGAAGAGAACUGAUUGUAUUUAUUUAUUCAUGAGAGACACAGAAACACAGGCAGAGGGAGAAGCAGACUCCACGCAGGGAGCCCGAUGUGGGAUUCGAUCCCCGGUCUCCAGGAUCACACCUGGGGCUGAAGGCGGCGCUAAACCACUGAGCGACCUGGGCUGCCCUCCUUUGGUGAGUUCUAUCUGCGGCCUCCGCGAUUGCUAGAGAUAUUGGUUUUGCUUUUGCU